rnacentral:rRNA from 1 species
AUUACUCCAUAGUAUUGCGUCAACACAAGUUGAUGUUCUUAAAGCUUCGGCGGUAGAAGAUGGGCAUGCGUCCUAUUAGCUUGUUGGUAAGGUAACGGCUUACCAAGGCAUCGAUAGGUAGGGGGCCUGAGAGGGUGGCCCCCCACACUGGUACUGAGACACGGACCAGACUCCUACGGGAGGCAGCAGUGAGGAAUAUUGGUCAAUGGAGGCAACUCUGAACCAGCCAUGCCGCGUGCAGGAAGAAUGCCCUAUGGGUUGUAAACUGCUUUUAUUUAGGAAUAAUCCCCAUUACGUGUAGCGGGUUGACGGUACUAAACGAAUAAGGACCGGCUAACUCCGUGCCAGCAGCCGCGGUAAUACGGAGGAUCCAAGCGUUAUCCGGAAUCAUUGGGUUUAAAGGGUCCGUAUGCGGGCAGUUAAGUCAGUGGUGAAAGUCUUCCGCUCAACGGGAGAACUGCCAUUGAUACUGAUUG